GGGCCCUCUAUGGAUAGCUCCAUUCAGAGCCUGGCGGAAGUGCUGUUCAUGAUGGAUGUCCCUCUCCACCCCCAGGGAAGGAAAACGUCAGCCUAGAGCAAAGGGACUUUGCUCUACACCUCAUUGAAGAAAUAUCUGGACACCAGUUUGCCAGUAUCUUUGAAACAUUUGAAUUCAGCAUUUUUCUUCAAAGGAUGAUGCCAAGCCAGCAAGCAGAAAGGUAAUAUGGUACUCCAGUUUGUGGAGGUUAACAGUAAUCGAGCAUCUGAAAGUCACGCAAACCAGCCAUUAUCACAAAGCAAAGCAGAGUGACAGCCUACCACUGCCUCAAGGAGAGAGCACUGUGUACCUACAUGGCCUUUCCUCAGUGGCCCCAAGUGCCUGCCAUGGUGUGCCUUCCCCCUACCUCAGGAAGGUCAUCUGAAAGGGCAGCUGGGAUGGGCCAUUCUCCUCCAGGUAAAGAUGACCCUGCUACCUCUCCUAGGACUGGGUAUUAAAGGACCCUCUCUCAGGCCCAGAGAGUUGGUGUCUUUCCC